AGAGUUUGAUCCUGGCUCAGGACGAACGCUGGCGGCGUGCUUAACACAUGCAAGUCGAACGGAAAGGCCCUGCUUGCAGGGUACUCGAGUGGCGAACGGGUGAGUAACACGUGGGUGAUCUGCCCUGCACUUCGGGAUAAGCCUGGGAAACUGGGUCUAAUACCGGAUAGGAGCCAUUUUUAGUGUGAUGGUUGGAAAGUUUUUUCGGUGUAGGAUGAGCUCGCGGCCUAUCAGCUUGUUGGUGGGGUAAUGGCCUACCAAGGCGGCGACGGGUAGCCGGCCUGAGAGGGUGGACGGCCACAUUGGGACUGAGAUACGGCCCAGACUCCUACGGGAGGCAGCAGUGGGGAAUAUUGCACAAUGGGCGCAAGCCUGAUGCAGCGACGCCGCGUGGGGGAUGACGGCCUUCGGGUUGUAAACUCCUUUCGCUAGGGACGAAGCUUUUUGUGACGGUACCUAGAUAAGAAGCACCGGCUAACUACGUGCCAGCAGCCGCGGUAAUACGUAGGGUGCGAGCGUUGUCCGGAAUUACUGGGCGUAAAGGGCUCGUAGGUGGUUUGUCGCGUCGUCUGUGAAAUUCCGGGGCUUAACUCCGGGCGUGCAGGCGAUACGGGCAUAACUUGAGUACUGUAGGGGUAACUGGAAUUCCUGGUGUAGCGGUGAAAUGCGCAGAUAUCAGGAGGAACACCGAUGGCGAAGGCAGGUUACUGGGCAGUUACUGACGCUGAGGAGCGAAAGCAUGGGUAGCGAACAGGAUUAGAUACCCUGGUAGUCCAUGCCGUAAACGGUGGGCGCUAGGUGUGAGGGUCUUUUCACGACUUUCGUGCCGUAGCUAACGCAUUAAGCGCCCCGCCUGGGGAGUACGGCCGCAAGGCUAAAACUCAAAGGAAUUGACGGGGGCCCGCACAAGCGGCGGAGCAUGUGGAUUAAUUCGAUGCAACGCGAAGAACCUUACCUGGGCUUGACAUACACCGGAUCGGGCUAGAGAUAGUCUUUCCCUUUGUGGCUGGUGUACAGGUGGUGCAUGGUUGUCGUCAGCUCGUGUCGUGAGAUGUUGGGUUAAGUC
rnacentral:rRNA from 1 species